rnacentral:rRNA from 1 species
GAUGAACGCUAGCGGCAGGCUUAAUACAUGCAAGUCGUGGGGCAGCAUGAUGUAGCAAUACAUUGAUGGCGACUGGCAAACGGGUGCGGAACACGUACACAACCUUCCUUUUAGUGGGGAAUAGCCCAGAGAAAUUUGGAUUAAUACCCCAUAAUAUAUAGAGAUGGCAUCAUCUUAAUAUUAAAGCUUCGGCGCUAGAAGAUGGGUGUGCGGCUGAUUAGGUAGUUGGCGGGGUAACGGCCCACCAAGCCUACGAUCAGUAGCUGAUGUGAGAGCAUGAUCAGCCACACGGGCACUGAGACACGGGCCCGACUCCUACGGGAGGCAGCAGUAAGGAAUAUUGGACAAUGGACGCAAGUCUGAUCCAGCCAUGCCGCGUGAAGGAUUAAGGUCCUCAGGAUUGUAAACUUCUUUUAUUUGGGACGAAAAAAGAUCAUUCUUGAUCGCUUGACGGUACCAGAUGAAUAAGCACCGGCUAACUCCGUGCCAGCCGCCGCCGUAACAC